rnacentral:rRNA from 1 species
AGGACGAACGCUGGCGGCGUGCUUAACACAUGCAAGUCGAACGGAAAGGCCCGCUUGCGGGUACUCGAGUGGCGAACGGGUGAGUAACACGUGGGCAACCUGCCCUCAGCUUUGGGAUAACUCCCGGAAACGGGUGCUAAUACCGAAUAUUGACAUUGUCUCGCAUGGGGUGGUGUUGAAAGUUUUUUCGGCUGGGGAUGGGCCCGCGGCCUAUCAGCUUGUUGGUGGGGUGAUGGCCUACCAAGGCGACGACGGGUAGCCGGCCUGAGAGGGCGACCGGCCACACUGGAACUGAGACACGGUCCAGACUCCUACGGGAGGCAGCAGUGGGGAAUAUUGCGCAAUGGGCGGAAGCCUGACGCAGCGACGCCGCGUGAGGGAUGACGGUCUUCGGAUUGUAAACCUCUUUCAGCAGGGACGAAGCGAAAGUGACGGUACCUGCAGAAGAAGCACCGGCCAACUACGUGCCAGCAGCCGC